rnacentral:rRNA from 1 species
AUUGAACGCUGGCGGCAGGCCUAACACAUGCAAGUCGAGCGGAGCGGCGGACGGGUGAGUAAUGCCUAGGAAUCUGCCUGGUAGUGGGGGAUAAAGUCCGGAAACGGGAGCUAAUACCGCAUACUAUCAGAUGAGCCUAGGCCGGAGUAGCUAGUUGGGGGGGUAAAGGCCUACCAAGGCGACGAUCCGUAACUGGUCUGAGAGACUGAUCAGUAACACUGGAACUGAGACACGGUCCCGACUCCUACGGGAGGCAGCAGUGGGGAAUAUUGGACAAUGGGCGAAGGCCUGAUCCAGCCAUGCCGCGUGUGUGAAGAAGGUCUUCGGAUUGUAAAGCACUUUAAGUUGGGAGGCGUUACCAACAGAAUAAGCACCGUCUAACUUCGUGCCAGCCGCCGCGGUAAUUC